UCCGGGAAGAAGCGGCGGUGAACUGGCCGUGGAGGCCAACGGCAAACAUCCCAUGCCAUGCCAUUGCCAUGCCUGCGGCUGCAGGCCCGCGGCAGGGGAUGGCGACGGUCGACGGAGGCACACCACACACACUAACACUGCAGUGCAUUGAAGCCCAGGACACGCACAGUGCCCUGCCCUGCCCUGUCUACGACCUAUCGCCUAUAGUGGCCGGAAUCAAUCGGAUCGUACGUGGUACUACUGCUACGGAGUACGUUCGUCGUUACCCCUGCUGCUGGCUGUCCCGCAUCGCUUGCGCUCGAGGCAUGUCGUAGCGUGAGCUAGAGUCGCCCAGUCCUCCAGCUCUGUCUCCAUCGCGCUCGGCCUCGGCCCCCUAGCGAUCGAUGGGUCCUUCAAUGCGGCCCAUAAAUGCCCCAACCCCCCCUUUGUUUCGCCGGUUGGUUGGCGAAUUCAUUGCGUGCCCCCGCGAGAGCGCGUGCUGCCAGUUCCUUCCAUAUGUACCCACGCCAUGCCAUGCCAUGGACGCCGCAUACCACCAACGCGCUUCGCACCCCCCAACCUGCCUCCCUCCUCGUCAUCUUCCUCUUCCUCGGCCUCAUCUCCCAUCCGUCUCUAUUUUGCAUUGCCUCCAUGAAAGAGAAUUAGGGAAAGCCAUGUUAAAGAAGCCGGCAUAUUUUUCUGCCUCUCCGGCCGGCCAUCUCUUCUCCAAACUCCUUCCGGCCGCGCGCGUGAAACAAAUCGGCGCUCUAAUUCGCUGUGGUAUAUCUCUCCAUGUCGUACUCGCUCGACCAUGGGUGCAUGUCGUCAGUUCUUCGGCAGAUCAAGUACCUGCAGCUGGGCUGCAACAGGAGGGCGAUGCAGGGGAACUACGCUCUGGCGGUGAGAUGAUGAGAGCGAACACUGUGCAGUUGAUAAAGAUGUGUGAGUCGGCCAGCCAAAAGAUCACAGGGGAGUGACCAAGACUUCACUGAUGGUUUUGAGGGUCUUUGGCAGUCUUAUGUCUACCGCCGUCUGGCUUUGCUUGGGUUUGUAAUAGAUGUGUUGGUGGUGAUUUGUGUAUUGCUAGAGUGGUGCCAUGGCAUUCGGUUCGAUGACGAGCGAAUGUUCCAUGAGUCUUCUAGCAAUACUUGUACUUUCGUUUUAUCUUUUUCUUCCCUGAAUUGUUUCUGAAACUGUUGUAUUUCCGUUCUUUGUAAUGGCAAGGGGUUGUUUUGCCCGACUCAAAAAAAUGUCUCUCUUUUCA